rnacentral:tRNA from 1 species
AUAGCUCAGUUUGUAGAGUGCUUGUCUGGUGCACAAGAAAACCUGGGUUCAGUUGCCAGU